GACGAACGCUGGCGGCGUGCUUAACACAUGCAAGUCGAACGGAAAGGCUCCUGCUUGCAGGGGUACUCGAGUGGCAAACGGGUGAGUAACACGUGGGUGAUCUGCCUUGUACUCUGGGAUAAGCUUGGGAAACUGGGUCUAAUACCGGAUAAUAACUGCCUUUAGUGUGGUGGUUGGAAAGUUUUUUCGGUGCAAGAUGAGCUCGCGGCCUAUCAGCUUGUUGGUGGGGUAAUGGCCUACCAAGGCGUCGACGGGUAGCCGGCCUGAGAGGGUGUACGGCCACAUUGGGACUGAGAUACGGCCCAGACUCCUACGGGAGGCAGCAGUGGGGAAUAUUGCACAAUGGGCGGAAGCCUGAUGCAGCGACGCCGCGUGGGGGAUGACGGCCUUCGGGUUGUAAACUCCUUUCGACAGGGACGAAGCUUUUUGUGACGGUACCUGUAUAAGAAGCACCGGCUAACUACGUG
rnacentral:rRNA from 1 species